CCCAAAUUCCCCAUCAUUCUCAAAACCUAAACUUUUAGCAAAUCAUAGUAUCUCUCACUGUUUUCAAACUUCCCUACCACUUCGACUCAGAGAUUAGAUCUCCACCAUGAUGAUGAACACAAUCAUCAUGACAUUGGGUAUUUGGUAUGAAUCAGGUCACCAUUUGCGGGGAAAGGUGGGAAGAUAUACUAUUGCCAUGAUGGAUUGACACAGAUUCAUUUACUCGCGGUGGUUCCUUAUCCGUCGAGCAUCGCCACUUGUUACCAUCGGUAUUGAUUGCCUUGUCGAUAUAGGGUAAAACUUGAAAAUUUUGGUCCCUCACAUUACCCUCUGAGGUUUUAUGGAUUUUUAUUUUUUGGUUUUGAUUUAUUUAGGAUUCUGCUUGCUUUUGAUUGUUUCAUUUUAUUUUUUACAUGCAUAAAGAAAUGAUGGUUUUCAAACAUUCUACUGUAUCCAUAACAUCCAAAUCUCACA